GACGAACGCUGGCGGCGUGCCUAAUACAUGCAAGUAGAACGCAGUUGCGAACGGGUGAGUAACGCGUAGGUAACUGCCUGGUAGCGGGGGCUAACUAUUGGGAACGAUAGCUAAUACAGCAUACUACUAGAUGGACCUGCGUUGUAUUAGCUAGUUGGCGGGGUAACGGCUGACCAAGGCAACGAUACAUAGCCGACCUGAGAGGGUGAUCGGCCAAACUGGGACUGGGACACGGCCCAGACUCCUACGGGAGGCAGCAGUAGGGAAUCUUCGGGAAUGGACGGAAGUCUGACCGAGCAACGCCGCGUGAGUGAAGAAGGUUUUCGGAUCGUAAAGCUCUGUUUUAAGGGAAGCGGUAUCUUACCAGAAAGGGACGGCUAACUACGUGCCAGCCGCCGCGGUAAUUC
rnacentral:rRNA from 1 species